CCCCGUGGCUUUGGGGGCUGUGAGCUGGGCUGGCAGCGUGGGCCGGGUGUGAGCCGUGCUGGACACAGCCUGCAGCUCACAGGGAACCCUCUGCUCCUGCACGUCCCCACUUUUUGGUGAGGCUCCUGCAGGUGGCAGGUGCUGCAGAGCCCAGCGCUGUGCUGUGGGCGGCCCAGAGAGCCACUCUGCUCAUCCUGAAGUUGUGUUUCUUUCUUUAUUUUUUUUUAUUCAAGGACUGCUGCAGCUCUAUCACUUUGGAUUUGUCAUUUUUUAAUGGCCUAUAAACUAACGACAAGUCGACAAUUCCUUGAUAUGCUCCUUGUUUGCAUUGCCUAUACCACGUCCUCCACAAAUGCAGCAGCUCUCCCAGCACCAGACCUAGUCAAAGCUGUUGUGUUCCUCAGGCCCAGGAACCUGCCCCAGCUGCAGCACGUUGGAGCAGGCUGAGCACGGAGAGAUGGGGCAGAGCUGCAAGGAGACCUCACUGCAAACAGAGUACCCCAGGUUUGAUUUUGCAUGGAGUCUUGAGCAGGACAGAGCUGAAGCUGUUUGCUCUGUGCUUGGUGGUGCCCAGUCUGCAGGAGCAGGCUCAGCGACGUCAGCAGAACAUUUCUCGCUGCAGUAAUCUCUUGGUACGUCCCCUGCUGGGAGGAAGAGGAAGGGCUUGGCAGGUUCUGCUGCGCUCAGUCAGCACUACCAACUGUGGUUAAGGGAUAAAAGGCAACCUCCCCCCCCAGUUCACCCCAUCAGGUGGCGUGGGGGCUGGAGGGCACUGCUCCUCUGCUUGACUGGAAGCGUAUGUUGACAAGGAGGUGGGUGCAGGAAUUGCUCAGUUCCAGUGCUGACGAGAAGACCAAAGUGAGAACAGCAGCAUUGCUCUUAAGCAGUGGUACCAGCUGAAGCAGAAAGUAAUUAAAAUGAGGCGUUUUGCAAGCAGGAACGAGCACUGGCAGCCCGUUUCUCAGGUCUGGUUGUCGAGAGGCCGUGCUGAAACAGCCGAG
ensembl:lncRNA